GCAUACGUAGCUCAGUUGGUUAGAGCGCAUGAUUCACAUUCAUGAGGUCCCUGGUUCGAAUCCAGGCGUGUGCA
rnacentral:tRNA from 1 species